GAGAGGAGCUGUCCUUAGUACGAGAGGACCGGGAUGGACAUACCUCUGGUGUACCAGUUGUCGUGCCAACGGCAUAGCUGGGUAGCUAUGUGUGGACGGGAUAAGUGCUGAAAGCAUCUAAGCAUGAAGCCCCCCUCAAGAUGAGAUUUCCCAACUUCGGUUAUAAGAUCCCUCAAAGAUGAUGAGGUUAAUAGGUUCGAGGUGGAAGCAUGGUGACAUGUGGAGCUGACGAAUACUAAUCGAUCGAAGACUUAAUCAA
rnacentral:rRNA from 1 species